UAAAGUAUGUUUCUUCAUUAGUUUGAUAGAAAAUUUUGAUUUCUUAUCUGAAACUGUUAUUUUUACUUUGCUUAAAAGGAAACACCGCCUUCCUUGGUUAAAAUUAAGUGUAAUCCGUUUCCUCAAAGCCGAUUUCUACUUUAAACUAAAGGGUCGCCUUAUCACGUGACCUCAGGACGUCGCACCAGAUCAGUCUGAACCAGAAUCUGCUGUCCGCCAUUACAGUUGUCUGUCGCUUGGAAAGAGAAUUUUGUGUACUGAAAAAGAAAAGUCUUUUACACACGAUUUGUGAGCGUCUUCUCAAAAGGCCACUGUUUUACCCAUACUACAGAAUUUGUCUUCUCAUGAAUGUGGAAGUGCAAAGACUGUGGUACCUCGGUUUUGCGAAGAUCUGAGCUUAUCAAACAUUAUAAGCUUGAACAUAGACACUAUGGACAUCACCAUUCUUAUCCAUGUGUCUAUUUGAACUGUCCAUGCACUUGCAAGACUUGGAAUGGUCUUCUGACUCAUGUUUCAAAAUGUCAUCACAGACAGAAUGAACUGACCACAUAUAAAUGCCUCUUGUGCAAUUACAAUCAACUUUCCACUCUCAAAAAAUAUUUGAAAACAUAGGACAGCAUCUCAAAAACAACGAGACUGUUGAUUGUGUGUUUUAAGGGUGUUCAUAUAAAACCAACAUUUAUGGUUCAUUUCAGACUCAUAGAAGUAGGAAAAAUAAGGGUUUUCAGGUAAGCAAUUUAAAGCCUGGAAUACUUGAGAAACAGGGGUCAAGCUUAGCUCUUCCCACUGAAAAUCGUUAUUCUGACAGUAUCCAGAUUGAGAGUAUUGGUAAUGACCCAUUAGAUGAUGAUGAUGAUUUAAGUACAGAGAAUGUGAGUGAUUCUAGUUCAGAUGUUCAGAAUUCAGAUGACUUGUCAUGCAAUAUUGAGCUCAAAGUUGCCUCACUUUUAUUAAAGCUAGAACACAUUUUCCUUGUUCCCAGUGUAGCUGUUGAUGAGCUUUUACAAGAGUUUGACUAUUUAAUAAGGACUGCUUCUACUCCUCUUAUCCAUCAAACCAUAGCUCAGCAUCUUCAGAAUAGUAACUGUGAAGUAGAUCAAACUGUUCUGAAAGAACUAGCAUCUGCUCUUUGUAAGUCAAAUCCAGUUACAGCUUGUUUUGGUUGUGAUGGUCCACUUUCCACUGCAUGGAAGUGAAAGAUCUACUAUAAAAAAUAAUUCAAUAUUGUAGAACCUGCAGAAUAUGUUCUUGACUCACAGAAUAGGAAAUCAUUCCAAUACAUCCCUAUACUAAAAUCUUUACAACAAAUACUGAGUUGUGAAACUUUAUUGGAUAAAGCAAUUAAUUUAAAAACUCAUUAAGUCAAACCUGAUAAAACCCUGUAUAGAUCCUUCUAUGAGGGUAGUAAUUACAAAGAAAAUGUGGUGUUAUCACAGGACUGUGCUAUUUCACUGAUAUUGUAUGUAGAUGAUUUUGAAAUUUGUAAUCCGUUUGGUACUUCAAGGAAAAAACAAAGUCUUUGGGGUAUAUUGAACAUUGGGCAAUUUACCUGCCAGUUAUCACUCCUCUCUGUCAUCUAUAUAUUUGCCUGCCCUUAUUCAUAGUGAUGAUGUUAAGUGCAACAGUGUGUUGAAGCCUUUGAUAGAUGGAACAACAUGGAGUGUUUAUUUCUAAGUUGGGGAAAACCCUGAAAGGCUUAGUUCAUUGUGUAAUAGCAGACAACCUUGGGGCCCACAGUAUUGCAGGUUUUGUGGAAAAUUUCUCAGGAAAAUAUGUCUGCAGAUUUUGCACAGCAGAAAAUAUUGAUAUUCAAAUAAAAGAGGUCAAUUCAGGAGCUUUCUCUCUUAGGAGCAAGGAAAUUCAUACUUGUCAUCUCAAAGCUAUUGAUGAAAAUUCAUUGGCCAGUCAUUUUGGUGUGAAAAGGAAGUGUGUGCUGUCUCAAAAUCUGCCAUAUUUUAAUGAGACUCAGGGUUUCCCCCCAGAUAUAGUUCAUGAUCUCUUUGAAGGGAUUAUCCCUGUUGAAAUUGCCCUUUGUCUUAAUGUGUUAAUUUCCAAACAAUAUUUUACAUUAGCUGGUUUAAAUGAAGCAAUAAUAGCAUUUCCAUUUAAGUGGACUGAUAAGACAAACCGUCCCCAUCCUGUGCUACUCACCUACACAACAAAGAAAACAACUGGAGGAAAUGCACAUGAGAACUGGAGUUUGUUGAGAUUUUUUCCUCUCUUGAUUGGAUGCAGAGUUCCUCCUAAUGAACCAGCAUGGCAAAUCCUCUGUGAACUAAAGGACAUUGUUGAACUUCUUGUAGCACCAUAUCACACUGACGAAUCUGUUGCUUAUCUUGAUUUCAAGAUAUCUGAACACAGGACAGUAUUCCAAAAGUUUUCCCCAUCAAAGAAUUACAUCAUUAUUUGGAACACUAUCCACAGUUGAUACGUCAGUUUGGCCUGCUGGUUGCACUGUGGACUAUGAGAUUUGAAGCAAAACAGCUUCUUCAAAACAGCAGUCCGUCAAACAAACUGUUACAAAAAUGUAUUGUAUUCUUUAGCUCAAAGGCACCAAUUUCAGACUGCACACAGUCUGCUCAUGUGUCAACUUGCUAAACCAAUUUUGGAGGUUACACAUGUUUCAAUACUUCACAUUGAUGUCAUUAAUCAGGAUAUUGCACUGGCAGUGAAACAGAAGCACCCAGAUAUCAUCAGUGUGAACCUUGCAAAAAAUGUCACCUACAACGGCUUCAACUACAGGACUGGAAUGGUGGUAGCCCAUGGGUCGCUGGCAGGACUUCCAGAAUUUUGUGAAAUAGUUCACGUGAUUGUUCUUCACAAGAGUCUUACUUUCAUUGUCAAAAAACUGGCUGCAUGGUACCUGGAACAUUAUCGAGCUUAUGACGUGGCCAUAUCUACUCCCAGAGAACUAAGGCUUGUUGAGGCACAUGAGCUGAGAGAUCAGUACCCUCUGGCUCACUAUAUGGUUGGUGGUCGGCGCCUCGUCUCCUUGAAGAGACACAUAUAUGCAUAAGGUUGGAUAUGUAAGGAUGUUGGGCUGGUAAUGUUUAAAUUACAUUUUUCAAUACAGUAUGUGGAAUGUAUUUUUUCAGGUGUGUGUGUGGGAUCAAUCUCAGUUGUUCUGUCAGACAAAACAACCUGUUGUUGUAGAGAUGUUCCCAUUUCAUGUCUAGGGUCCAGUGUGAGAUGGUAACACAAAAGGGAGAAUUACAUACAUUAAAAACAAAUCUUAACAUAUAAUAAUUUAAGUACUUUAGACUCUCAUUUUUCAAACUGAAAAUGCCACUUGUAGUGAAACAGUGUAACACUAACAAUUCCAUGCAAAUUCAGUAGAGCGCUUGGUUGCAUAAUUUACUACAAAGUAUUAAGUCUGUGUAGGUAAAUGUAUUAUUAAAAACAUGGUUGAAUUUAAUAUUGAAUAUAUAUGAGAUGUGGAAUAUAACUAAUACUUGCACUUAAACAGUUUUGAUUUUCUUUUUUUUUCAGUUUCUACAAGAACUCAAAUGUGGCCAAGAGAGUUUUGUAUACCAGUAUUCUCUUAUGACACUGAACUGCAGUUAGAAAAGGGAAAUGCAGCAUAUAAAGCAAACAUGACAAGACUGACACUGAGCUCAAAAAUGAAGUCAGAUAUUCUGGAAAAGGUAGCUGAAGAGAUUUUCAAGUACAAAGCAUACCCAACAGAUUCUGACUUUUGUGAUGUUGCAGAAGCACUCAUUAGGAAGCAUCCAUGCCUCACUGAACCUGGGUCAUACAGCAGGUGCUAUGGAUGGAAGCAGAGACUGAAAACAAAGAUGGGCAACUACCGAACCCAACUUAAGGGCAUUGGGUGUUCUGAGUUGCUUGCAAAUUCACUGAAAUCCAAAGCUCCAGAUGAUGCAUUGCCAAUGAAGAAAGUAAAGAGACCAAGGCAAGGAAAGGCCAACCAUAUUCCUGACAUUCCAGUUGGAGAAACUCCAGGAAAACUGGAGAGUGAGAGAGUGACACUUUUAAGUGAAGUGAAAGAGAGAGAGGCAAUCGCACAGUGAUAAAGGACAAAAUGGCCAAAACCUUCUCACUGAGAAGGCAAGAACACACACACACACACACAUGUACAACCAAGAUCUGAUCUCAGAGGAGAACUGAACUGUGCUGGACACGGACACACACACACAUACAUAAUACACACGCACAAAAAAAAAAAAAAGAACUGAACUGUGCUGGACAGUCAGACACACACACACCAAAUUAUCCUGUUUGCACGUACAUGCCACUUUACAUUUAUAUAUAUUUAUAUUAAUGCUGUUUACAUGUGUCACUUUAAUAUCUGCAGUCACUGUAUACACUGUUCUUUGCACAUUGUCUUGUUUAUUGCACAAAGUCGGCCUAUAUGUUGUUUGUCUGCACUCUCUUGUCUUGUCUUGUCUUAUCUUGUCU